UGGGGAAUAUUGCACAAUGGGCGAAAGCCUGAUGCAGCAACGCCGCGUGAGGGAAGAAGGUCUUCGGAUUGUAAACCUCUAUCGAUGGGGACGAAUAAAUGACGGUACCCAAGUAAGAAGCACCGGCCAACUACGUGCCAGCAGCCGCGGUAAUACGUAGGGUGCAAGCGUUAUCCGGAAUUACUGGGUGUAAAGGGUGAGUAGGCGGCUUGUAAAGUCAUGUGUGAAAUACCUGGGCUUAACCCAGGAACUGCACAAGAAACUUACAGGCUAGAGUACAGGAGAGGUUGGCGGAAUUCCUAGUGUAGCGGUGAAAUGCGUAGAUAUUAGGAAGAACACCAGUGGCGAAGGCGGCCAACUGGACUGUAACUGACGCUGAAUCACGAAAGCGUGGGGAGCGAACA
rnacentral:rRNA from 1 species